AAGUGUUAACAACUUGCAGAAUUUGUCUAGCAGGCUUUCCAGUUUUUGCUGUAAAGACCCAU
rnacentral:snRNA from 1 species